GCAGGAUCAACUGGUAGUCAUGGACGAACCGGCCGAUGAAAUAAGCUGUUAAGGAAGCCCCGUGCCCCGUGAACACAGCUGCGUUAAAUUCCAACAUUCCAAGAACAACACUCAUAAGACACCUCAAAUUUUUUCCACACCUAGGACCACUUCCGACAGCUUUCAGUCAGCAGCAGGAACAAGAAAACUCAAAUAAAGUGACAGAACUGUUCUUCCCAGUUCCAAACAUAAUCGAGUAGUCAUUGGCCCGAUGUCGACCGAAACGAAGUAACAUGCUACAAAAGUGCUGGAAUCUACCUCCGCUUUACCCCCCGCAGGCAGCACUGACUAUAGUUGAACUAUAAUUGUAUGCAAUUUUUUGGUACUGAGCGAAACGGCAUCACUGUAGAGAUUGCUUUUUCUCUUUCUCUCUAAAUUGUCAUUCAAAACAUAACAGAGAAUGACUCGAGAACUAAAUUUUUAACAAAUUCAACAACACGAAGACAAAAUACAGGCGAAUUUGUGGUGAACGCAGCUAGUCUUUGUUGAUAUAUCGCGUGAAAGGAAGGAAAGCAGCAGCAACAGCAAAAAUGUAUAAAUGAAAAUGAAAGAAUAGCGGUGAUCUGAAUGGAAUGAAAACGGAGUUUGCAGCUUCGGUAAAGUAUUGUUUUUGGGAUCAGACCAAAGCGCUCAUCUCACCAUAAUCACCAACAACAACUUCAACACGAACGUAACCAAUUUGAAUACCCAAUAAAAAAACUCAUCCAUCUCAACAGUCAUGAUUGCCCACGAAGUUAGGUGUGUCUGCUAGAGGGAACGAAAGGGAUAAAAAUAAUUGAGCCGACUGCGAUUCCGAUGAAGAAAUUUGUAGCUGACGGGAGUUUACUGAUGACGGUAUAAUCG